AAAAAGGUGUGAGUGGUAAUACGGUUGGCUUGAAACUAACUGAUGUAGGUUCAACUCCUACCCUUUUUG
rnacentral:tRNA from 1 species